GGACUUAGCAUCAUAGUUACACUAGAGGGGACUCAGGUGCAUAAACAAAUACAGUAUCAUUGUAGAUGUCAUAGGGCAUCCCACCCCCUUUCCAACUGCCAGAAUACUGAAUGUCUAGCAGGGUAAAUCCUUCUCUGUCUCACCAAGCUCCAAAAUAGUAGAUGGAUACCACUGAUCUGAGAAGCUUUUGAAAAAACAACCAGGCCAGAGGGAGUAAAAGUCUGAGGAACUUUUCCUGUCUGCAUUUACAUUUGUUUCUGGCUAGACAGCAAGAGAAAUGCUGGAAAAAGAAGUCCUCAAGCUGUAACCACUAUUUUCUUUCCAUGACUGACCCUUGUGUGCAUUUUCUUAAGAGCUCUGCAGGCUCCUGUCCUGCGGUGUGGGCAGGCACCCACAGCACUGCCCGCAGUAAUGGACCAGUGCUCCCAAGGCCUGGAACAGACCAACCCCCGCAGUCUGGAUUCGGUGAUCUGCUCUGGCUACCACUUGUGACAACACCCUGGAGAAGAUAUCUAGUGAGAGGGAGAGCUCAGCUCCUGGGGAAGAAAUUGCUGAUCCUUGAGAGGCAGCUAGAGCAGCAAAGAUUUUUUUGCUGAUAAACCACCGAUGGAGAAGCCCUCCCUUCCCCACUUCCCAUCUCAACCGCUGUCAUUUAAUUUGCAAAAGCUUGUCCCUGUCCCUAUCAGCAUUUAUUUAAGUACAUCUCUGCUGCGCCUGAGUGAUUUAUCUAAACAUCGGCAGCUACUGUAAGUGACGGAACAGCAAAGCAGUGGCAGAGGAAGGAGUGGAGAGGUUGAAAUGUAACUUCCCUCUUGUGAAAUCAAGCACAGGUGACUGUUCUGAGCAACUCCAGUGUAUUUACAUCAGUCACAGGCAGAAAGAAAAAAAGAAGGCAUUUCAGAGCCUGCUCAGACAUUUGAGACCAU
rnacentral:lncRNA from 1 species